ACGCAAAUGAGCAGACAGAUCGCCUGAUGGUAAGCGAUCACUGCCGCCCAUGGAUACCCGGACUGGAACACCAGGAGUGUCUGGUAAAACUCAACUUUGUUUACCAAGAUCCUGCCGUGGACGUUGAUGGAACAAUAUACGUAACGUGAUCACGAAGUGGAAACACGCUAUUUUAUACUAUAUCUGGUAUAAAAAUAGCUUGAGAUGUAUGCAACGAUAAAUUUCCCUCGGGGCGGUACUUAGCAAAGCGGUAGGUAGGUAGUAGGUAUAUAAGUACUUAAGUAGU